UGUAGCUCAGUGGAUAGAGCAUCAGAUUCCGAUUCUGAAAGCCAAGGGUUCGAUUCCCUUC
rnacentral:tRNA from 1 species